rnacentral:rRNA from 1 species
AGUGAACGCUGGCGGUAGGCCUAACACAUGCAAGUCGAACGGCAGCACAGUAAGCGCUUGCUCUUACGGGUGGCGAGUGGCGGACGGGUGAGGAAUACAUCGGAAUCUACUUUUUCGUGGGUGAUAACGUAGGGAAACUGACGCUAAUACAUCAUAUGACGUACGGGUGAAAGCAGGGGAUCUUCGCGCUUUUCGUGUCAGUAUUAGCCGAUGUCGGAUUAGCUAGUUGGUGGGGUAAAGGCUCACCAAGGCGACGAUCCGUAGCUGGUCUGAGAGGAUGAUCAGCCACACUGGAACUGAGACACGGUCCAGACUCCUACGGGAGGCAGCAGUGGGGAAUAUUGGACAAUGGGCGAAAGCCUGAUCCAGCCAUACCGCGUGGGUGAAGAAGGCCUUCGGGUUGUAAAGCCCUUUUGUUGGGAAAGAAAAGCAGCAGGUUAAUACCCCGCUGUUCUGACGGUACCCAAAGAAUAAGCACCGGCUAACUUCGUG